GGAAGUUCUUUCCUCAUCUGGCUAGCGGGGCUCACUAAAGGAGGGAUGGAUACAGGGUUUGAGACCCUACUGUCAAUGUCAAGAGUCUGAUCACCGAGUCCAGCGACGAGAUGUAUAGAUGGAGGCCCUCUCUAGGGAGGAGAUUCUCCUAAGACAAUAAGAAGCCAACGAAUAGAGGGGACACCAGCUUCUUUGAGUCAUUCAUCCAUGUCUGCCCUUUUUUGGGGGGGAUGGAGAAGGCAUUAAUGGUUUAUAAUAAAUACAGUUGUUGGUA